rnacentral:rRNA from 1 species
CCUACGGGAGGCAGCAGUGAGGAAUAUUGGUCAAUGGACGAGAGUCUGAACCAGCCAAGUAGCGUGAAGGAUGACUGCCCUAUGGGUUGUAAACUUCUUUUAUAAAGGAAUAAAACGAGGCACGUGUGCCUUUUUGCAUGUACUUUAUGAAUAAGGAUCGGCUAAUUCCGUGCCAGCAGCCGCGGUAAUCCGGAGGAUCCGAGCGUUAUCCGGAUUUCUUGGGUUUAAAGGGUGCGUAGUUGGGUUGUUAAGUCAGUUGUGAAAGUUUGCGGCUCAACCGUAAAAUUGCAAUUGAUACUGGCAUUCUUGAGUACAGUUGAGGUAGGCGGAAUUCGUGGUGUAGCGAUGAAAUGCUUAGAUAUCACGAAGAACCCCGAUUGCGAAGGCAGCUUACUAAACUGUGACUGACAUUGAUGCUCGAAAGUGUGGGUAUCAAACAGGAUUAGAUACCCUAGUAGUC